rnacentral:rRNA from 1 species
AUUGAACGCUGGCGGAACGCUUUACACAUGCAAGUCGAACGGCAGCACGGACUUCGGUCUGGUGGCGAGUGGCGAACGGGUGAGUAAUAUAUCGGAACGUAUCCAAUAAUGGGGGAUAACUAAUCGAAAGGUUAGCUAAUACCGCAUACGCCCUGAGGGGGAAAGCUAGGGACCGCAAGGCCUGGCGUUAAUGGAGCGGCCGAUAUCUGAUUAGCUAGGUGGUGAGGUAAAGGCUCACCAAGGCUUCGAUCAGGAGCUGGUCAGAGAGGACGACCAGCCACACUGGAACUGAGACCAGGUCCAGACUCCUACGGGAGGCAGCAGUAGGGAAUUUUGGACAAUGGGAGAAAGCCUGAUCCAGCCAUUCCGCGGGAGUGAAGAGGGCCUUCGGGUUGUAAAGCUCUCUCGCAAGGGAAGAAAACUUAUCCUCUAACAUAGGGUGAGGUUGACGGUACCUUGAUAAGAAGCACCGGCUAACUACGUGCCAGCCGCCGCCGUAA